CCUACGGGUGGCAGCAGUGAGGAAUAUUGGUCAAUGGACGCAAGUCUGAACCAGCCAAGCCGCGUGCAGGAUGAAGGCUCUAUGAAUUGUAAACCGCUUUUGUACGAGGGUAAACACCGAUACGUGUAUCGGGUUGAAAGUAUCGUACGAAUAAGGAUCGGCUAACUCCGUGCCAGCAGCCGCGGUAAUACGGAGGAUGCGAGCGUUAUCCGGAUUUAUUGGGUUUAAAGGGUGCGUAGGCGGUUUGAUAAGUUAGCGGUGAAAUGUCGGGGCUCAACCCCGGAACUGCCUCUAAUACUGGUGGACUAGAGAUUAGGUGCGGUAGGCGGAAUGUACGGUGUAGCGGUGAAAUGCUUAGAGAUCAUACAGAACACCGAUUGCGAAGGCAGCUUACCAAACUAUAUCUGACGUUGAGGCACGAAAGCGUGGGUAUCGAACAGGAUUAGAUACCCUAGUAGUC
rnacentral:rRNA from 1 species